GUGCUUGCUUCGGCAGCACAUAUACUAAAAUUGGAAUGAUACAGAGAUUAGCAUGGUCCCUCUGCAAGGAUGACAUGCACAUUCAUGAAGCAUACCAUAUUUUU
rnacentral:snRNA from 1 species